rnacentral:rRNA from 1 species
GGGCGUGAAACCGUUCAGGGGUAAACCUGAGAAACCCGAAAGUUCGAAAGGGGAGAUUCAGCGCGUAUCGGCGGGGAAGUCUGACGGUCGUGCGACGGAAGACGUUUAGGCGUCUACCGCGCCUUCUGUUUUUCUAGUACCGUCGAACGCGUGCACUUCUCCCCCUGUAGGACGUCGCGAUCCGUUGAGUGUCGACCGUGGCCCGCGGUGGAGAUCGUUCGAUUUUCGGAUCUUACGAACCCGUGGUGUUUUCUGGUCGACUUUGCUCGACGGUAUAACGAUGGCGCGAGGCCGCUACUUUAGUUAGCGUUCGGCUCUUGGCAAGCACGUUCGUAGUUCGGGUCUUCGGACUCUGUGCCGAUCCCGUCUCCGAGCGGCUGUUCGCCGAGAUGUUCUCGAACAGACCUCGAAUUUCGAAACGCCUAUCUGCGGCGCUAUAGCUYUGGGUAMUUUCAGGACCCGUCUUGAA